rnacentral:rRNA from 1 species
GAUGAACGCUGGCGGCGUGCCUAAUACAUGCAAGUCGAACGAGGUGCCUUUGUAGCAAUACGAAGGUAUCCUAGUGGCGAACGGGUGAGUAACGCGUUGGUGACCUACCCCAAAGUGUGGGAUAACAGAUCGAAAGAUCUGCUAAUACCGCAUGUGGUCUUCGGAUUUAGAAACUGAUGACUAAAGGAGCAAUUCGCUUUGGGAGGGACCUGCGUCCCAUCAGCUAGUUGGUGAGGUAAUGGCUCACCAAGGCUACGACGGGUAGGGGACCUGAGAGGGUGGCCCCCCACAAUGGAACUGAAACACGGUCCAUACACCUACGGGUGGCAGCAGUAGGGAAUAUUGCACAAUGGGCGAAAGCCUGAUGCAGCAACGCCGCGUGUGCGAUGAAGGCCUUCGGGUCGUAAAGCACUUUUCUGAGGGAUGAGCAAGGACAGUACCUCAGGAAUAAGUCUCGGCUAACUACGUGCCAGCAGCCGCG